AUGCAGAAGAGGGGAGGUAAUCGAGACGUUUUGACGAGCGGGAAAUGGUGUUGGAAUACCCAUGGGUUAGCCCAAGGAGAGCCCAGCACUGUUCAUGCGGGCUGGAGUGGUCGGGCUUGUGGAAUCCGCCAUGGAUGGUCCAUGCGUGAUCUGCUCUCGAGCCCGAUCAAGGAGGUAAGUUUGCCUGCGAGCUGGGUGUGGGUGCCGAAACGGGGUUCUCUGAGUCCUCAUCUAGGGUUUCCAGCCACCAGACGAGAGGUCGUGUGCUUUAGGGCGACGGCGAGGCGGAUCUGGAGAGCUCCGGCGAGGCUCACUGACGGGAGGUCCUUCCUCGAGGUAGCGAAGGGAGGUGUGGAUCGUAAACCUCAAUUCCAACGUCCUGAUCAAUGGGUUCCCAAUAAGAGAAGAGCGUUCGAAGAGGAGGGGGGUGGUGGGAAUUGGGGAAAUCGAAAUUUGCAGGAGAGGGAGGAACGUGAACUUCGGAAUCGGUUGAUGGGGCAUCAACAACAGCGUGAGGAUGGAAGGUGGCAGGAAGUUGAGAGAAGGGGUUCUAAUUUAGGCAAACUAGCAGUAAAGCUAAAAGGUUAUGGCAUACCUGAGCAGGGUUUCUUUAGCCUGAAUGUCGACAAUUUGGGUGGGCACAAUUUAGAGGAUGCUAAUGUGAAGCAAAUUAGCAGUAAAGAUUGCUUGAUUGAUUUCCCGAGUGAAGAUGCUAGAAGGCAAGUCACUAAGUUCAGGGGGUUUGUGUUUAAGACUUCAUCCAUCAAAGCGAGUGUAAUAGAAUCUAAGAUGAUUGACAAUGUUGUGGAUGAGCUCUUUGUGAUCUGGGAAAUCAUUAGAGCAAUAUCUGACAUUGUGGGUGAAUUUAAAGAAGUAGAUGAGGAAUCUUUGAAGGGGGAAGGAGUUGUUAGGAUAAAAACUCAAUCUACCCCUCCAGCUGUUAAAAGAAACUCUGAAAACUUGCAAAAGGCCAUAAUUCUGCAGGUGGAGAAUGAGGUGGGGGUCACUGCUAAGGGUGAAGUUCUUAUUGAAGCAACUGCUGUGGAGAAAAAGGCAGACAAGGCAGUGGUGCUAUGGAAGUCUACAACCAGAACUGACAAGGAUAAAAGUGGUGACCUUCUAAAAAGAAUGGAUGUGGAUUUAAAAUUGGGGGGUGUUAGAUUAUUCACAGAUGAAGAGGGGGAGAAAUGUGCUAUCCCAACUGACUCAGAUAUUGAGUUGAUGAGGGCAGAGGAAGAGGAUGACAGUGAACAACUUGAUCUGGAAAGUGAAGCAGAGUUACAGAACAGGGAGGAUAAGUUCCAGAAAGUCAGGCACAAGAAAAAUCAAGUUAGUUUGGUCAAGAGACAGAGUUCUAGGGUGAAGGAUAAGGAGGUACCAGUUCAUCUAAAAGCUGAGCUUAGGAAGUCCAAAAUGAACAUGACCUCAGGUAUGUCAUCUAAAAAUUCUUAUGCAAUCUUUCAAUCUGUUAGUCAGGAUUAUCUUAUCAACAUUGCUAGGGCUGGGGGAAUUUCUUUGGGUGAUAAUUCUGAGGAAGAAUUGGCACAGGCUGCUAUUUUUGAUGUAGAUAAGAGGUUACAACAGAUGGCUGAAAAAGCAAGUUUGGAAGAAGAAGGGGGACAGGGGGUCCCCCCCCCCAAUGAGAAUAAUGCGAUUCUGGGGGUUCCUGUGGUAGAAAUGGAGAAUGAUCAGUAUAUGGAGGGUCUGAAGGAGGAAGAUAGGGAUGAGUUGGAUGAUGCGGAUAAAGAGAGUUCUGAUAACCUGGGGGAUUUUGACUUGCAUGACCAUGAGGGUCUGAGACAGAAGAAAAAGAAAGGGAAACAAUCUAUGCAAAAGGGGUCUGGGCCGAAAAAGAGGGGGCGUCCUAGAAAGAAGUCUAAAUCAUGAGAGUGGUGUU
rnacentral:lncRNA from 1 species